rnacentral:rRNA from 1 species
AGCAAAUCUCCAAAAAACGUACUCAGUUCGGAUUGUAGGCUGCAACCCGCCUGCAUGAAGUCGGAAUUGCUAGUAAUCGUAGAUCAGCAUGCUACGGUGAAUACGUUCCCGGGCCUUGUACACACCGCCCGUCAAACCAUGAGAGUUGGCAACACCCGAAGCCUGUAGCUUAACCGCAAGGACGGCGCAGUCGAAGGUGGGGUCGAUGAUUAGGGUUAAGUCGUAACAAGGUACC